CAAAGUGGACUCUUCAGCGCUCUGAACGCUCAUCAUUUUGCCAUUUCUUGUUCGGCUGGCAACGAAACCAAAAGUGAUUGUUAAGUGCGCGCAUAACCGUGAAGUGUGUCAGUGCCUGCUUGCCUGUCAAUUCACUAGUCAGUCAUCGUUCUGCCAAUAGCGCGACCUGUACGCAGUUAUAUUGCCGUGUUCACUUUUGAUUGCGGCCCGUAUUGAUACGAAUAUUGAAUAUUGAACAGCGAAAGGAGUUGAUCAUCAAAUAUUCAGUGCACAAAAUUUU